rnacentral:lncRNA from 1 species
CAGAAAAUCAACGGCAUGUCCAAAACGAGAAAAUUAUUUAUAAAUCUUGUAAACUGCCUUUUCCAGUGAACUUCAUUUCGCUCGUCUGACACUGAUUUAACAACUCACUGUAAACACUAUCGGGUUCAUGUUUUUAAAAAUUGUGAUUUUGAACAAAUGUUAUUCCACGCGAACAAAUAUUGAAUCAGCGGGCGUCAGGAUUUCGUUGUGAUUAAUUAAUUUUUAUUCUUAGUCCAUCUUUCAGCGUUUGCUAUUUUACUCUCUUUAUUAUAGCUGUGGUUGAAUAAACAGAUAAUGCUUAUCAUCGAUUUCCCUUCCCUUCCCUCCCCCUAUUCUGAUGCUAGGUCUAGGCACUUUGUCUCUUUUAGCAAAGAAUCGUGUUCCUUUUUUUCAACCGACUGAUGUAAUUAAUUUUGUUUGCGUUCUACAGACAGACGUCGUUCGAUGAUUCUGUAGAGUUUUCCACCCGUCAUCUGCUACCAAGCACUCCUUAGCCUCGAUUUUACAACCUUGGCAAUGGACGUUGAGAAUGAAGGCGAUGAAGAUGGGAAACGAGAUGCAGCGAGUGCCGAGGUACGGGUGCCAAGGGCUUAGCGCCAGCGUUUCACAGAACAUGUCACCUGAGGGUCGACUGGCGAUGCUGGCGUCAAGAAAGGAGUCGAGGAAAGCUGGGCAAAAAAUUCAGCCCAAAGCACACAAGACAGCUUCGACGCCAACAACAUCCGCUGAGGUCACACAGGUGACAGUAAAGAAGUCGGGGCUGAUCAAGAUGGCGAGUCCCCUGUCGAAGUGCUGGGCUUCGCGGAAGCUUUGGAGAGAAUUUGCACGAUACGCUUGCACGGCGACAUCACAGACAGAAGCUACACACCGAAAGAGACUCGCAGGCGUGUCUUAGGCGGUGGUGACCGUCUGCACAACGCGUUGGAGGUGGUGGAGAUCGUUCGUCACCGGGACUGUGAUGAGGAAGACAACAACAACAACGAUUCCGACCACUCCGACGACGACGACGAGGAGGUCAUCCAGCGUAAAGCGAACCUCAGCUCUCUGGAACGGUGUCUGGUGUGGGUGGAGCUGCACCAAUUCGUCCAUGACAGGAACCAUCAGAGCAGCGCCACCUGCUCCGGAAGCUGACAUCACGCAUGCUCUAGUCAACGACGUGAAAUAACAUUUCGCACUUCAGUCGCAUGCUAAUGUUAUUUCUAGCAUUUUUGUUUUCUUUGAUUGUUUUUUUUAUAUUUUAUUAUUAUUAUAUUUUUUUUUUGGUUGCUGAGUGUUUUGUUUUGACAGUAACAAGUUAAAAGGUGCAAUGUUGAUUGAGACGCGCAGUCAUCUGCAAGGAACAUUUGGCAACACACUCUUGAAUUUGUGUAAUUGAGAGAUGUUGUACCAGAAAUAAAAAGAACGAUGCUAUGGACCUAGUACGACAGAUGCAGCAACACAGCAUCAGUCCGAGCUUCGCCUUUCUGUUCUGAUUUUCUAAGUCCAGUUCAUGUUUCAAGUCGUUCUUAGAUUAUUAGUAAAACGCGUGAGUGUUACUUUGCUGUGCUUUUAUUAUAGAAAUGAAAGGGAAAAUGUUACAAUAAAUAUUUAAGAAUUUUGGAUGCUUGAAAGGAAUAUUUCUAAGAAAAAUAACUGUAUAACUGGCAAACUGAAAACGUACUGAACACCACUUUUCAUUCAGCCAGAAUUUAAGUCUUUAUGCUCUCUCCAAUAAAUGCUUCCAUGUCUAUCUCAGCUAGUUUGCCUGAGGUUUUUUAGAUCACUUAUGAUCAACACUACGACAGUUCCGACAAUUGUUAACAAGGCAGUCCUGGAGCAAUGCUAAAAAUGUGGACGGGCUGCUUGUGUGGAUGGACUCCAUUAUUUAUAUUUUAAGUGGUAUGUUCUGUGACUGGUCUUCUUGUAUGCAUGAGUGAGCAAUGUGCAUUCGGUGUCGGCUCUGUUUGCGUGGUUGAGCAAUGUUGUUCAAGUUGUCAAGCUAUCAGUUGCCUGUGUGUGUGUGUUGUUGUUGUUGUUGGGU